rnacentral:lncRNA from 1 species
AGACCUAAAAUAACCUAGACCCCUAGACAUCAUCAGCCGUUUUUUAAAAGGAAAAAGAACUAAAAAAUGAAAAAAGCUCUUCUUCUUCAUGAAGAUUGAACAAAAUGCAGAACCCUAGUCUUCUUCUUCAUGGCAACAACGGAAACCUGAAGAUCAGGCCUGAACCAAAAACGACCCAUCCCCACCAUCUUCUUCAGUGAGCAAAAACGCCUAAGUCUAGGAAUCAGACGCAAUAACACAAAAAAUCAGGUCCCCCACAUUGAUCUUCUUCUGCUCGAAUAUAAACAACCAUUUUAAACUUUCCUAUACAAAAAAGAAUAGCCAUAUUCGAUGAGUUGUUCCAUCGGUUUUUUUAUCAAAAAAAGCUUCUUCUUCUUGCUGGAAAACGCAGCAACAUAACCAUGAAAUACAAUCUAGAAAACCCAUCUAAACAAGUAGAGUUCGAGUCAGGAUAGUCGAGCCGAGCAACAAAACUCUGUCGAAAUCCGGUGGAGCUUCUCGUGGAGGUUCUGUUCGAGGUCUCUGAUCGAUGGCUCGAUUUUGGACUUUUGGUUCGAAAUUUUUCUUUUAGUUCAUUUCAUUGUCAAUCCCGUCAGUUUGAGGUUAAUUUCCUCCCCUUUCUUUUUUUGUGUUCUUACGUUUUUGUAUCUAGUCACACCAGUUGGUUUUGAUGGAUUUAAUGCAACUUUACAUCUUGGCCUUACAUGAUUAAUAUGUGAUUGGACCUAGUAUUUUCCUGAAGGAAGACAUAUAGUUAGUAAUUCUUAUUGUAGGAUUUGCUAAGUAAAAGAUGUUGGGGAAGCAGUGGUUUGGGGCUAGAAAAUGAAAUCUAAGUUUCAGAUUAUUAUUUUUCGUAAUAGGAUUUUCUUUAGUUGAGCUAUAGUUUAAAUUGAUAUUUUUAUCUCAAUGUUAGGAGCAUGUUAGGCCGACCAUACCUGGGUAGGCGAACCUUUAGGCAUGUAAUUAAAUCAUCACAACAACGGGUAUGCUUCCCAUGGCGUGGUUGUGAUACUUAAUUUCAAAUUAGUUGUAAAAAUGAAUAUCCGUAGUUCACUUAGUUGAAUGCCUUUACUUUAAUAAAAUCUAGGUGCGCCAUACGCAAACAAAAUCCAUAAUCUAUGUCCCUCAUAUUAAUUAUCUUAACUAGUGUAAAAAAUGCCUUGAACUUUCGGAGUUUGAUUUAGGCGCGUUAAUUAAAUAAUUGUCAUGGCUACGGGUACGACUCUCGUGACAUAGUUGUGAUGCUUAAUUUCUAAAAUCCUAGGGUACAUUUAUGUGACCCAACAACAAUUUAAUUUUGUUAAUAAAACAAACAUGUUGUAGAUCGUGGGUGCGGUUCCCGUGACAUGAUUCGCUAUGUAUAGUCAAAUAAUUAGUUGAUGUGACGACCUGUCCAGUCGUCUUAAGAAUUAACGCCCUGAUCCCCUAUUAACUACUUUCCCCAAGUUUAUUUAUGUUAUUUCUAUUUGUCGGGAUGUCCAGUUUUGAGUUUCGGAGAGUUUUGGGACACUUAGUCCCUAAAUGAGAGCUAAAGUGUUGGAAAGUUGAACGUAGUUGGAACAGUGUGAAGACGGCCUCGGAAUUGAAAUACAAUGGUUUUGUUAGCUCCGUUGGGUGAUUUCGGGGUUAGGAGCUUGUUUGAAGUGUGUCUUGGAGGUCCGUAGCUAAUUUAGGCUUGAAAUGCCGGAAGUUGAGUUUUUGAAGUUUGUGGUUCGAUAGUGAGAUUCUAAUUCAAGGAUCGGAAUGGAAUUACGAGAGUUGUAGUAGUUCCGUCAUGUCAUUUGGGAUAUGUAUACAAAAUUUCAGUUCAUUCGGACGAGGUUUGGUAGACUUUUUGAUCGAAAGUGUGUUUUACAGUUUUUGGAAAUUUUAAGCUUGAAUCCGAUGAAAAAUAAGUGUUUUGAUGUCGUUUUGAGCAUUUCGAAGGUUGGAACAAAUUUGGAUGUGGUUUUAGGAUUGGUUGGCAGGUUGGGUUGAGGUCCCGGGGGCCUCGGGUGUGUUUCGGAUGCUCAACGGGUCAUUUUUGAAACUUAGGAAAUUGCAGAAAAAAUUGCAACAGUCAGUUCUGGUUUCCUUCUUCGCGUUCACGAGUGGGUUCUCGUGUUCUCGAAGUGGAGCUUGGAUUAGGGGAAAAUUUGGCCUUCGCAUUCGCGAUAGGGCCUUCGCGUUCGCAAAGAACUGGAUGGUUGUGCUAUGCAUUCGCGAUUGGGCUUAGCGUUCGUUGAAGAGGAAUUGGCCCAAAGGAGUUUUGUGUAUCGCAUUCGCGUGAUGCCCGUCGCGUUUGCGAAGGUUCGUCUGUGCAAGGCAUCACGUUCGCGAAGUAAAGGACGCGUUCGCGAAUAAGGAAAAAUGGUCAAAGUUAUUUUGUGCUUCGCGAAUGCGAGGCUUUGACCGCGUUCGCGAAGAAGGAAUUUUCUGGGCAGAUAUAAGAUUUCAAAAUCGAUGGUUUGGCCAUAUUUAUCAAAACUUAAGCAUGGGAGCUCGGAUUUUGAGCGAAAUUUUGAGGGAUUUUCAGAGGUAUCGAUUGGGUAACGAUUCUUAUCUCAUUUUUGCUUGUAACCCAUUAAUCUAAACAUGAAUUCAUCCUUUAAUUUCGGAAUUUGUAUGAAAAUUGGGGAAAAAAGUUCUUAGGCCAAGAAAUUGAGUUUUGAUUGGGGAUUUGACAUCGGAUUUAAAUAAUUUUUGUAUGAUUAGACUCGUGAGAGUGUGAGUAUUAUGAAACUAUAAAUUUUAUCCAAUUCCGAGACGCUGGUCCGAGGGGCGUUUUGGUCCUUUUACAUAAUUUCGCAUAUUAGCUUAGAAUUUAAUUAUAGAAUCAGUUACUUGAAGUGUUAUUUACAUUAUUCAAUUGAAUUGAAUAGAUUUGGGCCAUUUGGAGUCGAGUACUCGUGGCAAAGAUGUGGUGUUGGGUUGAUUUUGAGCCGGUUCGAGGUAAAUGGCUUGUCUAACCUUGUGUGGGGGACCUUCCCCAUAGGAUUGGUAUAUUUGGUAAUUUAAAUGCCUUGUACGUGAGGUGACGAGUGAGUACUUGUGCUAAUUGUUGGAAACCCGAUUUUCUUUAAGUACUUACUAGUAUGUUUUCUUUCCUGUUUCUAUUACUUGCAUUAUUAAGCAUGUUGUUAGCUUAGGAAAGCAUGUCUAAGUGACUUAAUUGCUUCAUUUGAUUUAACCUGCCUUACUUGAAUUAUGUGCAGCAUGUUAGGCUAGAAUCACUUAUUGCCUUAAUAUGAAUUUUGCUAUUUAUGUUUAUCUUCCUACUGCUGCUGUGUAUUUAUUUUGGGACUACGGAUGUGGAAUUCCGGUAGCUCCACCUUGUCUAUUUACUUUGGGACUACGCGUUAGAUUCCCGGUAGAUCCCCCUGCACAUUUACUUUGGGACUAUGGGUUAGAUUCCCGGUAGAUCCCCCUGCAUAGUUAUAUAGAACUACGGGAAUGCACCCGGUAGAUUCCCCCAGUACUGGGUAUUUACAUUUGGGAUUACAGAUUGUGAUUCCGGUAGAUCCCCAUGCAUCGAUAGUUGGACUACGGGACAGGAUCCCGGGAGAUCCUUCGGACAUAUAUAUGAUGGACUACGGGACGGUAUCCCGGGAGAUCUACUGGACAGUUGUAAUUGGGACUACAGGACGGUAUCCUAGAAGGUGCCCCGAUUGUUAUCUCUGUAUCGAGCUGUAUUUUUUUCUGUGGCUUGUUUUGUCUCUGUUCUAUUUGUUGUUCUGUCAAUUCUAUGUUAUUUCUUACUGUUGCACUUAUUUAUACUGUUUUAUUCCACAUUGUUAACCCUUAUAUUGUAUUUAACCUCAGUAGGGCCAUGACCUUCCUCGUCACUACCCAACCAAGGUUAGGCUUGGUACUUACUAAGUACAAAUGUCGUGUACUCAUGCCUCUUCUGCGCAUGUUUUUCAUGUGCAGAUCCAGGUACUUCUACUCAGGCCUACCAUCCUUGAGGUAAGUGACUACUUAGAUACUUUGAG